UGGCCUCGUCUUCAACCUCCAUCCCUUUCAUUGAUGUUUGCCAUAACACAUCAUCGUUGUGGAUUCAUCCCUUUCCUCCUCCCGUCCCCGUCCAAACUAUUGGUCUCCAAGUGGUUCUUGGCGAUAGCGCGACCUCCGUGGCCUCCUUGCGCAGCAACGACGUGACCUUCGUGGGCUCCUCGCGCAGCGACAGCGCGGCCACGGCCUCCUCAUGUAGCGACGGCGUGGUUGCAUGGCCUCUCAAGACCUCCCUGUCUAGCCCCCGCUCGUGCAGUUCCAGAGAACGCCACCUCUCUCCCAUGGAACUGACAAUGUGUUAUGGUAAAAUUUAGUGCCUAGACGGAGGUCGAAGACGAGGGCAGCAAAGUCAUUUCUCUCGUCUUCUCUCUCUACAAAUCUAAAAAAUAAAUAAAAUAUUAGUUGUGAUGUGUUAUGAGAAAGAACCUCAAAUUUGUAAUGAUAUUGGGCAAAUACUGCUCGUUAUGGUGUCCAUCAGCAUAUUAAAAUUUGUGACGAUGUCCUGCAGCAAAAUUUACCUUGAAAACUUAUUUAAUUUGAUGUAUUACUAAUAAUCUUAAUGUUAUUAUGUUUUUAAUCUUGUAUCUCAUAUUUUCUAGAAGUGUUGAUAGUAUUCAUGAUAUGUAACAGUAGAAAAGUAUUUGGAUCGGCACACAUAUAUAUACUAGCCAAUGGGUCAUCAAGGCCAUAGCAUCCAGAAAAUUGAUCGUUCCAGGAAUUGUUUAGUUUUAUUUUUUCUUUUUUCAAAAUCGGUACCGUAACAUUUUCGUUUCUAUUUGAUAAAUAUUGUCUAAUCAUGGACUAAUUAGGUUCAAAAGAUCCGUCUCGCAAAUUUCAGACAAAAUUUACAAUUAAAUAUUAUUUUUAUCUAUAUUUAAUGCUCCAUACAUACGCUGCAAGAUUCGACGAAAAAUCUAAAGUUUUUGCAAUUUUUUUAAACUAAACAAGGCCCCAUGCCCCUAAAGUUGCCUACAGGGCCAGGGGCCCAGGUCCAAGGACAGGGAACAC
rnacentral:lncRNA from 1 species